AUUGAACGCUGGCGGCAUGCCUUACACAUGCAAGUCGAACGGUAACGGGCCUUCGGGUGCCGACGAGUGGCGGACGGGUGCGUAAUACAUCGGAACGUGCCCGAUCGUGGGGGAUAACGAGGCGAAAGCUUUGCUAAUACCGCAUACGAUCUACGGAUGAAAGCAGGGGACCGCAAGGCCUUGCGCGGACGGAGCGGCCGAUGGCAGAUUAGGUAGUUGGUGGGAUAAAAGCUUACCAAGCCGACGAUCUGUAGCUGGUCUGAGAGGAUGAUCAGCCACACUGGGACUGAGACACGGCCCAGACUCCUACGGGAGGCAGCAGUGGGGAAUUUUGGACAAUGGGCGCAAGCCUGAUCCAGCCAUGCCGCGUGCAGGAUGAAGGCCUUCGGGUUGUAAACUGCCUUUGUACGGAACGAAAAGCCUUCUUUUAAUACAGGAGGGUCAUGACGGUACCGUAAGAAUAAGCACCGGCUAACUACGUG
rnacentral:rRNA from 1 species